rnacentral:rRNA from 1 species
CCUACGGGAGGCUGCAGUGGGGAAUAUUGGACAAUGGGGGGAACCCUGAUCCAGCCAUGCCGCGUGUGUGAAGAAGGCCCUCGGGUUGUAAAGCACUUUCAGUGAGGAAGAACGCCUGGUGGUUAAUACCCAUCAGGAAAGACAUCACUCACAGAAGAAGCACCGGCUAACUCCGUGCCAGCAGCCGCGGUAAUACGGAGGGUGCGAGCGUUAAUCGGAAUUACUGGGCGUAAAGCGCGCGUAGGUGGCUUGAUAAGCCGGUUGUGAAAGCCCCGGGCUCAACCUGGGAACGGCAUCCGGAACUGUCAAGCUAGAGUGCAGGAGAGGAAGGUAGAAUCCCCGGUGGAGCGGUGAAAUGCGUAGAGAUCGGGAGGAAUACCAGUGGCGAAGGCGGCCUUCUGGACUGACACUGACACUGAGGUGCGAAAGCGUGGGUAGCAAACAGGAUUAGAUACCCUGGUAGUC